AGUGAACGCUGGCGGUAGGCCUAACACAUGCAAGUCGAACGGCAGCACAGUAAGAGCUUGCUCUUACGGGUGGCGAGUGGCGGACGUGUGAGGAAUACAUCGUAAUCUACUUUUUCGUGGGGGAUAACGUAGGGAAACUUACGCUAAUACCGCAUACGACCUACGGGUGAAAGCAGUGGAUCUUCGGACCUUGCGCGAUUGAAUGAGCCGAUGUCGGAUUAGCUAGUUGGCGGGGUAAAGGCCCACCAAGGCGACGAUCCGUAGCUGGUCUGAGAGGAUGAUCAGCCACACUGGAACUGAGACACGGUCCAGACUCCUACGGGAGGCAGCAGUGGGGAAUAUUGGACAAUGGGCGCAAGCCUGAUCCAGCCAUACCGCGUGGGUGAAGAAGGCCUUCGGGUUGUAAAGCCCUUUUGUUGGGAAAGAAAAGCAGCAGGUUAAUACCCCGCUGUUCUGACGGUACCCAAUGAAUAAGCACCGGCUAACUUCGUG
rnacentral:rRNA from 1 species